rnacentral:rRNA from 1 species
UGGGGAAUUUUGGACAAUGGACGCAAGUCUGAUCCAGCAAUGCCGCGUGCAGGACGAAGGCCUUCGGGUUGUAAACUGCUUUUGUACAGAACGAAAGGGCUCUGGUUAAUACCUGGGGCAGAUGACGGUACUGUAAGAAUAAGCACCGGCUAACUACGUGCCAGCAGCCGCGGUAAUACGUAGGGUGCGAGCGUUAAUCGGAAUUACUGGGCGUAAAGCGUGCGCAGGCGGUUUUGUAAGACCGAUGUGAAAUCCCCGGGCUCAACCUGGGAACUGCAUUGGUGACUGCAAGGCUGGAGUGCGGCAGAGGGGGAUGGGAUUCCGCGUGUAGCAGUGAAAUGCGUGGAUAUGCGGAGGAACACCGAUGGCGAAGGCAAUCCCCUGGGCCUGCACUGACGCUCAUACACGAAA